CGGGGCGUAGCUCAGUCUGGCUAGAGCACCGGCUUUGGGAGCCGGGGGUCGCACGUUCAAAUCGUGUCGCCCCGA
rnacentral:tRNA from 1 species